UUUUUAAAUAUUUCUAUCAAUUUAAUGGAAGAAAAUGCUCUAUUCUAUCCCAAUCCAAGAUAGUCAAACAAUUUUCACAUGUAGAAAAACACAUUGGUUGAACAAUGAAAAACGAUUUUAAAAAAGUAAGGAACAGCUUCAAUAAUUUCAAAGUAAAUAAAUACCACUUGUACAUAAAAUUUAAUGUAAUGAAGGAUUAUUUUGCCCACAAAGGUGGUACAGAAGACUUAAUGACAGGUGGUGGCUGAUGAAGGCAGGUGCAAGGGAAUUAUUCUUCAGAAGACACGUUCUUGCCACACCAUUUUCUUUACCAAUGUUUCAACCACUGGGAGAGGCUUAUCUUUAUCUUUCACUGAAACUAUACUUAAAAAUAAAGUUAUUGCUGGGGCUGGCUCCGUGGCCAAGUGGUUAAGUUCGCGUGCUCUGCUGCGACGGCCCAGGGUUCAGAUCCUGGGCGCGGACAUGGCACUGCUCGUCAGGCCAUGUUGAGGCGGCGUCCCACAUCCCACAAAUAGAAGGACUUGCAACUAAGAUAUACAACUGUGUGUGUGGGGAGGAGGUUGGGGAGAUAAAGCAGAAAAAAAAAAAAAGAUUGGCAAUAGUUGUUAGCCUAGGUGCCAAUCUUUAAAAAAUAAAUAAAUAAAAAACAAAGUUAUUGCACACACACAAAAUCGAUAAGGCAAAAUAAGGCAAAAUACAGGAAUGCUGUCAAAGACACGGAAAAAAACCUCACCACCCAGCAGAUGGGAGAGUGUGGAAGAGGCGCCCACUGUGUCCCCUCACCUGGCAGGUCUAUGAGAAGCAGUACAUUUGGGGUCUUCCAGACAGGGGCACAGUUCACAUUGGCUCCCCACGACUUUCUUUGACUAGAAAUUGCUAUGAUGACCAAAUUGAUGGGCAUGUCUGUGCCCAAAUCAAAGUGUCAAAAUGUCACUUUUAUGGCAAAUUUAUUUAGUGUGCUUGGUAGUCACAUGAAAAAGGGGGUGCUCACUGAAAGCGGCUUAUCUUUUCCAGAUGGUUUGGUGGAAAGUCUUCAACCAAAGCCGUGUUCCAUCAGAGGAACCUGUGUAGCCCAUGCCCGUCCCCUCAUACCUUCCCCGACACCAGGUGCUGCCAGCCCUUCAUUUCUGUGGGACUGAUGGGUGAAGAGCUGUAGCUUAGGGGGGUGGGGCAGGCUGUAAAGAUGCUCUACAUACUUUUCCUGUUCUGUCUGUUAACACUGGGGCUCCCACUGGGCUGUGUGGUUCCGAUCUCAGGUUCAGUAUGCAGCCUUGAACAGGACAAGUAGGAAAUGAGUGUGAGAAGGGUAGCUCUUCAUAGGAUGCAGACGAGGGUAAGGGGAGACCACCAGGCUCAGCUUAGCACAGUGCCUGGAACCUAAUCAGUGCUCCAUUCUAGUGGGUGAUGGUGACAACAAGGGGAUCUCAGAGGGGCAGCUCCUCACUCUGUGCCCUGGGACCCUGAGCUCCCCCUGCCCCUAUCUGCACUCUGUUUCCUCCUAGAUCAUUGAACACAGAAUCUUCGUCUCAACACAAGCUCCAUCAGUCAGUCAUUCAGUCAGGCGACAAGCAGGGGAAGGCAGGGUUCAGGCAGCCUCAGGGCGCAGAGGGAGUGAGAUCAGGCUGGGAGGGAGAGCUGGGUGCCUUCCUGCUCUGCACUGGCUGGGACACUGUGGUGGGCUGAACCAUGGCCCCCAAAGAUACCAAGUCCUCAUCCACGGAACCAUGCCCAUGUCCUUAUAUGUCAACAUCUUUGAAGAUUUUAUUAAAUUAAGGCUCUUGAGAUGGGCAGAUUAUCCUGGAUUAUCCUGAAUUAUCUGGGUGGGCCCUAAAUGAUAUCCUAUGUGUCCUUACUCAAGGGAGGCAGAGGGAGAUUUGACAUACACAGAGGAGGAGGCCAUGUGAGGACUGAGGCCACCUCAAGUGAAAGGACCGGGGCAGCCACCAGAAGCUGCAAGAGGCCAAAAAGGAGCCUCCCCUGGAGCCUUUGGAGGGAGCACAGCCCUGCCGACACCUCAGUUUCAGACUUAUAGCCUUCAGGAUGGGGAGAGAAUAAAUUUCUGUUUUUAGAACCACCCAGUUUGUUACAGCAGGAACAUGAAGCUAAUACAGAUACACACUCUUCCUGGUCCCAGGAACGUUCCCUGCCCCUCACCCCCCGCACAUGCACACACGCGUGCACACACACAUGCACACACACACACACACACCCUGAGGUCCCAACAAAGCCUCUGCCUCAGUCACUGCCCCGUCCAUCAGCCUUGAUGAUUCACAGGCGUUCCUGUCCAUUCCAGAGAUACGGGUCUCUUAAUUUCAAACUUUGCAAGUCUCUCUCCCAUCCUCUUAUCUCUUUCUAACUUGUCCGUGGUGUCCAUUGGCAAGAAGUGCUAGUUUUGAUGGAAUCAGAUUUGUCAUUGUUUUUUGCCUUAUGGAUUAUGCUUUGGGAUCUUUGUGUAAGAAAUUCUUCCUUGCUCAGAUGUUACAAAGAUUCUCCUACACUUGCUUCUAACUUCAAAUUGUUGCCUUUUACAUUCGGGUCUUGAUUCUCUCUGGAGCCACCUCUGCGUGCAGCGUUAAGUCAAGGCCAUGUUUACUUUCUCCAUGUAGUGAUCCAGUGCCCAACACCAUUUCCCACACAGUUGGCUCUUCGCCUCUUGGUGGUAGUGCCCCUGAGUACGAGGUGAGGGUCUCCUACCCCCCAGCCCCACCUCCAGCUUCCUGCCCUCUUGUGCAGUUAGAAGAAACUGUUCUCUGACCAUGAAUUCGUAGGGUCUUCCCAUCAGGUAUUCUCCAUUUUUAUGGUGACUUCACUGUUUGGUGACAUGGGCCUUCUGUUGUAGCGUAGGUUUACUGAGCUUCUCCAAAGAUCUACAUGGCAUUUUGAUAGAGAUGACUUUGGAUUUUUAGCUUAUUUGGGUGAUAUUGUCAUAAAAUUAUCAAACCACCCAAGAGCAGGAUAGCGCUCCAGUCACGCGGUCACCUCAGCGGGGUGAGCCCCACGAGGAAAGUGAGUCCGUGGUAGGGGUGGGUGGGGCGCACUGCCUCUGGGUGAGGACAUGCAUCUUCUGGAUGCUUUUGGCUACAGCUCACCAACUCGGUGGUCCUGGGAUUGGUUAAUUCCCGGGACCAGGGGAGCCCAGGCUCCAGGUCUCUCCUCCACGAUUCUUGCGGCAUUGCCCUCAUAGUGGAAAGAUGCUGAACAACUCCUCCAUCGUCCUGCACGGAGAAGCAUGAGUCCCUCCUGGGGACCCUUUCAAGUAGCCCCCAGAUGUCCCCACCAGCCCCUUGUGACACCCUCAUGUCUCUUUCUCUGGCCUGGGUCCUGUCUCAUCCUGGCUACCCAUCUGGAGCUGGGAGAGGCACCAGGAGGGGGCAAGGGGCAGGCUGCUCGGCCUGGCUUCCUGUUCUCCCUGAUAUCUUAGGACACUGUGAGGUCACAGUGUGGGCAGCCCCAGGUCACAGGCAGCUCUACAUGAUCUCUCUGGCUGGCAGGAGGGAGAGAUCAGCAGGCUAGUUCCAGGAUGGUGGACAUGAGACUGCCCUCACGGCAAUGUGACCCUGGGGCUGCGGGUGGGGAUGACAAGGAUUCCUCCUGACCAGCUGCUGCCAGGCAGGGAAACCCUGUCCCAGAGCAGCCCAGAUCCCUGCAGAGGCUUGGCCCAGACGCAGGGCUUCAAGUGGCCACACUCCGGAGCCUCUCCAAGAUUUUGGAGAGUUUGCCAAAUGCUUAGGGACAGUGAAGGGGCUCCUUCUUGGUCACUGCCUGGGGUUCCCACAUCCCCCAUCCUUUGGCCCAGCCCCAAUCCACCCUGUUAUCUUGGGAUGACAGGGGGCCUGAGAGCACCCUGGACGUGAGGUCUGAGUUCUCUGAAGCCCAGACUGGGGCCAACCUUUGACGGGGGCUAGGGUUGGGAGCCGCCUCUGGGACUCUCAGUCAAGGGGGGGUGGGGAGAAGGCUGCCCCUGAGAUGCUGAGUCCGUGGGGGAGGGGGCUGCAUCAGGCAAUCUGGGUUUUGGUGCCCUCUGGUGGACGCUGGGGCACCCUACAGACCACUUUUCAGGCACAGGAGACAACUGAACACUCAGGAGACUGAGGGGUGGGGCAGUCCUGGGUUUGUCCCAAUAUCAAUGCUGAAAAGCAGGGUGACCCUGAAGUCACUCUGCCCUCUGAUCCUCAGUCUUCUCAUCUGUAAAAAUGGUGACAGAUCCAUUUCAAAAUGUUGUCAGGGAGGAGACAGAGCAGAUGAGACUAUGCAAGUGACACAGCAACGACAGUUCCCUCCUCUGUCUCCCAGACAGACAGACAGAGGGGCUGAGUCCCACAAGCAGAGGGUCACGCCAUCCUGGCCAGUCCCCUCCAUCCUCUGCCAGCAGCUGCCAGGGCAACCGUCCCACAACGGGGUCACCCUUGAUGGAAGCCCUUCAGUUCCAGCUGCCACAGGACCAGGGUCCAAGCCUCUGGCCUGGACAAGGGCUUGUGAGAACUCGUCUGACCCCACCAUUCCCUGCCCCUCUACCCAGCCUCAGCCAUGCCGACCCACCUCUGGCUCCCACCUCCUGGCCUUCACCCCAGCUGAUUUCUCCCGUCAUUCCCUCCCUACCCUUCCUUUGUCCUCUGGCAAAUUCCUACCCUCCUUCUCACCUGACGGGAAUGGGGCGUCUGUCCCUCCUUUGAGAAGACUUCCUGGACCCCACUCCUCCAACCCUUGACAAGAGUGCCAAGACAAUUCAAUGGGGGAGAGAAUAGUUGUUCAACGCACAGUGCUGAGAUAACUGGAGAGCCAUGUGCAAAAGAAUGAAGUUGAGCCCUACCCCACGUCAUAUCCAAAAUUACCCCUGACGGUGUCCAGUGGAGCAGCUAAAACUAUAAAACUCUUAGAAGAAAACAGGAGCACAUCUUCAUAAUUUUGGAGUUGGCAAUCAUAUCUUAGAUAUGACACUAAAAGUGCGAGCAACAAAAGAAAAAGAUAAGUUUAAAAUUUUUGUGCUUCAAAGGACACCAUCGAGAAAGUGAAAAGACAAUCUACCAAAUGGGAUAAAAUUUUUGCAAAUCACAUAUCUUUUAGGGACUUGAAUCUAGAAUAUAUGAAGAACUCUUACAACUCAGCAAUAAAAAGACAAACAACCAAAUUAAAAAUGGGCAAAGGAUCUGAGUAGACAAUUCUCAAAGAAGAUACACAAAUGGCCCCUCAGGGAACAGGAAAAGAUGCUCAACAUCAUUAGCCAUCAGGGAAGUGCAAACCAAAAUCACAAUGAGAUGCCAUUUCAUACCCACUACGAUGGCUAUCAUGCAAAAGUUAGACAAUGAAAAGUGUUGAUGAGGAUGUAGAGAAAUUGACACCCUCAUAUAUUACUGGUGAGAAUGUAAAAUGGUGCAACCAUUUUGGAAAAAUAGUCUAGUUUCUCAGAGAGUUAAACAUGGAGUUCCAUUUGAUCCAGCAAUUCCAUGCCUAAGUAGAACACAGGAGGACUGAAAACACAGGGCCACACGCAAAUUUGCACACAAAAGUUCACAGCAGCAUUAUUCAUAAUAGCCCCAAAGUGGAAACAACUCAAAUGUCCGUCAGUGGAUGAAUGGAUAAACAAAGCAUGGACUAUCCAUAUAAUGGAAUACUGUUCAGCUCUAAAAAGGAAUAAAAUACUGAUACAUGUCACGAUAUCGACGAACCGUGAAACAUGAUGCUAAGCGAAAGAAGCAAAUCACAAAAGACCACAUAUUACACAAUUCAGUUAGAAAAAUGUCCAGAAGAGGCACAUCUAUACAAACAGAAAGUAGAGUAGCAGUUGCUUAGGGCUGGGGGGAGGGUGGGGAAGAGGGAUUGGGGUUAAUAGCUGAAGGGUACGGGGUCUCUUUCUAGGGUAAUGAAAAUGUUCUAGAAUUUAUUGUGGUGUGGCUGCACGAGUCUGCGAAUAUACCAAAAGCCAUCAAAUGGUGCAUUAAAGUUAAGUGAGUGACUUGCGUGGCAUGUAACCUGUAUCUCAAUAAAGUUGUUACAUGCACAAGAAAGGCACACGAUGCAGCCAGGAUGGGGAGGAACUUCCUUUGGGCUCUAGCUUUCUUCUUAGCCCCUCUCGUCCUCACUCUCCCUCCAGGGUGUCUUCCUUCCCACCACGUUCCAAGCCAGGAGUGUCUUAAUCUGUCCUUGGCCAUCCCUGUUGCCUUCCCGUUCUUCUGGGUUGAUCACUGACUGUGCCGGCCUUUCAUCGCCCGGUGUCUGUGAUAGCUGCAGUCAGUUCUCAGAGUUCUUUCUGAUUGAAGAAUCCAGAAUUGAGAAGGAUCGGCUUUCUUCUAGAUAUCAGGCUGCCAUUUGUGAAGUGGCCAUCCAGUGGCCAGGGGCGCCCAGAUCCUUAGCUUUAGCUGGGUACCGGGGCCACGUAACUCCCACAGCCCCAAGAACAAGCAGAUUCCUGAAACUAGAGCUCACAUCCACGUCUGCUAGGGCAGCAACGGUGCCAGCAGGCCCUGUGGAGACAAAGACAAACACGGCGGGCCCUCUGCCAUCGAGACCUUGGCUGAAGGAAGACUGUGCUGAGUGUCUCAGAGAAAAGGAAGUGGGCAGUGCAGAUGGGGGUCUAGGAGCCAGGCCUUGAAGGAGGAGAAUUUCAAUAGGGAAGGGCAUUCCAGGUAGGUGGAACAGAACAUGCAAUGACGUACAGACAACAUGUGUGAACCAUAUGAAUUAAUCAUUUUUAUGGGGGAAAAAACUGAUCAAAUAUCAGCAAUUUCAUAUAAGUCAAUCUAAGCAGGCACACAGGGAGAUGAGCCCAGUGCAGCUAGACCAGUGGUUCUCAAAGUGUGUUCCAUGGAAUCCUAGGGUCCUGAGAUCUUGCAGGGGAUCUGUGAGGUCAAAGCUCUUAAUACUAAAGCAUUACUUGCCCUUUUCACUGGGCUGACAUUUAUACUGACAUGACACUGGUGCAAAGCCAUGAUGGACAGAGCUGCUGGAACCUCAGCUCAAAUCAAGGCAGUGGCACCAAGCUCUACCCGUGGUCAUUGUCACUUUACUACCAUGAGCGCACGGAAAACCCAGCGUACUGAGAAAGCACUAAAAAUAGUUAAUUCUAUUAAAUCUCCACCCUUGAGUAAGUACACAUCUCUUUAAUAUUCUGUGUGAUGAAAUGCAAAGAGGGAAGGAGAGCAGCUGCCCUGAGGAAGAGCGCCCGUGCGGCCAGGUGUCUGAGUUCCCAGCUGAAUCAGCCGCCUGUUUGAGGGAGUACCACUUUUACCUAAAAGAACGACUAAUGGACAGACUACGCCUAUUCAGGCUGCAGUUGUGGACAAGCAUCUCCCUGAAAAUGAGUGAUGUGAGCUGGCACUUGAAGGUAAACAGCUGACAGCAUUUGUUGCCGAUGAAAAACUUGAGCUCUCAGCAAAAAUGAGGAUUUUGGAAAACGUGUGUCUGCCACUGUCAGCCUGAGGUAAAGACAUUCCUGAUGAGAUUGAUGGCGAUGUUAACAAAGGUGCUUUUUGGAUGACAUGUAAUCAAAUAUGUCAACAUCUAGAAGAUAUGCAUCACCCCAUGACCCAGUAUUUGCCAGGUGACAAACACCCCAUAUAAAAAAUCUCCCCCGGGUCAAAGAGCCACUCAAAGUACAAGCUGGACCAGUGGGUUUCACUGCAACAGAGGACGCACAUUUCAUAAAAUUCCUCAAGAUGGUUUCAGAAUCCAUAUGCUAAGUAAUCUUUAAUAAACUCCCACCUGUCCAGUUUUGGGGUGGUUUCAAAGGAGAAUAUCCACAAUUACCUUAGAAAGGCAUUAAAAUACCCUCCCUUUUCCAGCAGCGUGUCUCUGAGAGGCUGGGCGUUCCUUACACACUGCAGCCAACACUGCUCGGAUGCAGAGGCCGGGAUGAGACCCUACCUGUCUACCGUCUCCUAGUCAGCCAGACAAGAGCUGGCAAAACUGUAAACCGGUGACACUCAUUUCACUGAGUUUGUUGUUACUGUUUCAAAAAAUUCUCAUUUUUCAUUUAAAAAUCAUUAUUAAUGUUAACACAUUAUGAGUUUAUCAUUAUUUUAAAAGAAAUAUUUCUAAAUGAAUAUUAUUUUUAUAUAAAUACUAAUUUAUUUUCAAAUCUAUUCAUAUAUAAAUAAUAUAGAUUAUCAUUUACUUUGUUUAUGAUUUAAUUAACACCAAUAUUUUUCCUUUAAUUGCGAUCUUUUUUUUUUAAUUGCAGUAACGUUGGAUUAUAACAUUAUAUAACUUUCAGGUAUACACUGUAAUAUAUUUUGCAUUCUGUGUAGAUUACAUCAUGUCCACCAGCCAAAAUUAAUUAUAAUCCAUCACCACACCUGUGUACCUAGUCACCCCUUUUGCCCUCCCCCUCCCCCCUUUCCCCAUGGUAACCAACAAUCCAAGCUCUGUUGCUAUGUGUUUGUCAUCGUUUUUAUCUUCUACUUAUGAGUGAGAUCAUAUGGUAUUUUAGUGAUUUACUAUUAUUUUUAAUGAAUAAAUAUGGUAAAUGAACUAACAAAUAUUUCUCAGCUUUAAUUUCUAAUACAGUAAUCACCAAUAGACAUCAGCGCGUAAACUCCAGUUGUAUGAUUGCUCAGCUUUGCUUCUAUAAUUGUUGGGAGUAAAGGGGUCCUGAGACCACAGUGUUUGAGAACCACUGGCCUAGAGCAUGAGGUGCUGGCCCCAGGCUGGCAAUGCAGGGUCCACUUAAAGCAACUGACCCACACUCCUGCUGUGCCCCUUAGCCUGGCUCCCUCUGCAUCCCCCAAGAUCCUGCCCCGGCCACCCCACCCGGGGCUGGACUCUACCCUACCACCUUCCCUGGAGAUGCACCCUGGAGCCUCUCACCCUAGUCGCCUUAAGUUCUGGAGAAGUCUGCAGCAGAAUGAGGAGCGUCCCCUGAUCGCAGUCUCCUCCUCCACAGCCGUGGAUCUGCCCUGUCUGCUGGGGAGGGAGGAGAGAGCUUCUGUGCACCUGUGAGCCCCGGGUCUGUGAAGCUGUGAGUGCCUAGUGUGUGCACCUGUGAGUCUGGGUUUGCAUACCUGUGAGCUCCUGGUCUAUACACCCAUGAGCAUGUAUGAAUGAAUUCGAGGCAGCAUCUUCCUGGGAGGCUGGAACACUAGGGGGUUCUCCAAGUCCUGACCCACCCUUCCCCCACGAGGACCCCUAGACAGUGCCUACCAGGGAGCCCUGGGAAGUGUGGGAAGGGGUCAGGACAGGAGCACUCUGAGGGUCCUGCUCAGUCACGUUUAUCAGCAGGGGGAAGCCCUCCCUUACAACCCCCCGAUGGUCCUGCACUGUCCACUACCCUGCUGGGGACUUUGGGUGAGUCCUUGCUCCUCUCUGGCCUCGGUUUCCCUAUCUAGGAAUGGAGGGCACUGAGCCAUGUGACUCCAGCCAAUGGUUCCCAGUCCCUGGCAGUGACUGACCCACCAUACUUGGGGACCCAUACCCUCUAAGCAAUGCUGCCCCACCCUGGCUCCUGGCAGGCUCACCCCUCGCCCUUCCUACCCCUUGCCCCCCAUUCUGUCUCGUACCUCAGAUAACCAGGGAAACUGUCACUGAAGGAGGCCAGCCGCUGAUCCACAGUCUGUCUGUCUCUGCUCUCACUGAGCUGGAGGAUGUACUCCUGUAGAUUGUCCAAAGCCGGGCCCUGCAGGGAGCAGGGUGAGAGAAGAGACCUGGAAAGGGAGGUCAGAGGCCCCCACCCCCCACGCCCACCCAAGGGGUCUGUGGCUCACCCUGUGCUCCCUAAAGGUGGUGCCCAGCUUCCAGAUGUCCGUUUCCACCUGAUCACGGAGGUGCCCCGAAGUCCUGGGCACCAGCCUCCUGAGAUAAGCAGCCAGGGCCUGGACGUACUCCCCAAAGACCACCAUAUUCAGACUCCUCACAAGGCUCUACGCCCCGAAAAGACAAAAAGAUGGGAAGACCCAAGUGAAAGCAGUCCCAGGGCACAGUCCAGCUGGCCUUGGUUGUACACCCUCAGGGACAUGGGGCGGCAGGGUGUUACAAAUCCCCCCCAUCACAGGUCUGUCCGGGCCUGUACCCCCCACCCCACAGAUCGAACCCCUAACCACUUGGCUUUUCAGAGGUUGCCUGCCUCAGCUUCUUGGGGUGACCUUCAGCAAGUCACAUCACCUCCCUGAGCCGGCCUCCACCUUGGGAGACCAAGGGCUGGCCAGGGUGACACGAGGGCCAUCCAGCCCAGCCCGUCUUGGGCCCUGGGCCUCCGUGUUGGCAAGGGUUCCCACACCCCUUUGACACCUAGCCCACAUUGGGGAGGGUCAGGAUCCCAGUGGCCAUGCAGAGCUGAUCCCCAGGGUGUCCCCCCUCCCCCCACUACCUCGUAUGUGGGAGUAGGGUGCAUGUUGGGGCAGUGCUCCAGGCUCUGCCACAGGGACCGCAGAGAUUGGACCAGAUCCUUGUUCUUCUCUCCGAAGUGACAACUCAGCAGACUCUGAGGACAGGAGGGUCGGAUGUCACCGCAGCCCGAGGCGCCCAGGCUGGCUAUAAUUUCUCCGGCCCUCAUCCUUUCCCCCUCCAGCUCUGUGACACCCACCUUUCUCUGCUGGACCCACAGUCCUGGACCAGAAGGGCCCACACCGAGGGAGCCAGAGGUUUGCCCACUUUCUGCCCCAAAACUCUGUCCACCCUUCUCCUGCCAACUCCUGGGAGGGCCCCAGGUUCAAACAGCAGCCCUGGACUCGAGCUUCUCUCAGAGCCCUCCCGAGUCCCUCCCCUCUCUCCGUGACCACCGAGGCAUGGCAGGAGCCCCCGACGAUGCUUGCUCCCCUCAGAGCUAAGCUCCAGAGACAUGGGGUGGCGAGAACCACAGCUGCUCCACCCACAUGCAGCCCUAGUCUGCUCAGUUCUCAGUGGAUGCCAAAGGUGGGUGGGUGGGGGAGGCAAAACCAGCCUGCUGAGUGUCUACUCAGGGGACCUGAACAAGUCCCAUUCCCACUACGACCCUCAGGGCCCAAUCUGUGUGAUGCAGCCUCGUCAGCAUCAUCUAGGAAAUGUGAAGCCAAGUCCAUGAUUGGCCGUGGCUGCUGGGACCUCUGGGUGGAGAAGGAGCCUGGGCCUCCAUCUGGGCCCUGAGAAGAAUGUUGGGAUUGAUGGGCAAUGUGUGCCACACCUCAGCGUGAGGCAAGGGCAGUGUGCGUGCUGUGCUUUUCUUGUCCCUAGAGGAGAUGAACUCUCUAGGUCUCUCCACCUCUGGGUCUUCCCAUGCCACCCUGAGCCAGGUGCUCAGAUCUCUGUAGAAAAUUCAGUGGCGGCUGCCUCAGAAGCUGGUCCCCACAGUGGAAAAUGGAUCCUUGGACAAAGCUGCAGCAAUGCAGACCCACCCUCACCAGCACCUCCCAUCUUCCCAGCCAGGAGGCCCCUGUGAAGAGAGGGCCAGUGUGGGCCUUGCCCUCAGCCAGAAGUUGAAUGGAUCCCGGGAGGCCUCAAACCCUGAAUUUGAGUGGGAAACUCACCUGUGGUUCCCAUAUCCUGGGGGACCCCUUGCCCUCUCAGGGCUUCAUCUCCAGGGUCAGGCCCCAGGCAUCCACGGGGAGCCCUGAAUCCUGGGCAAGGCCCUGCCUUGAAGGCAGCCACAGCUCAGGGGAAGGCAAAGAUGAACGGGCAUGGAGGCCCUGGGAACUCAGUGCAGGGGGCUUCGCCUGCCUAGGGAUGCCCGUGGCUCAGAGCUGGGAUCAGGGGGAGGGGGAAGGGAGUCGGGCCUGGAGGAGCGAGUGCCAGGCCUCAGCUGGCCUGGCAGACUGAAUGAUUUCACAGGAAGAGAGAAGAAGGAGCAGGUCUGGCUGAGGUGACAGAGGGACACAAAUGUGGACCCUGCCCAGGGAGGUGCCCUCGGUGAGGAUGGAGCCAGGCCUCAUGAGGGGCUGCAGGCCCACCCCACCCCUCUCCCCCAGACAGGGCCCCUCCCUCGGGCCAGACAGAAAGCUGACCCUGUCCUUCUGCUGCUCCACACACAGGACUCAGGGCUGGGGAGGGCAGGAGGACUGACAGAGACAUCUCCAACCAGGUUCCAUCGCUGGCACUUUGCCAUGUCCUGUCCCAGUAAAGGCUCUGUUGGGCUGGACGGAAGCCAGGGAGACAGGCCUCCUGCCCAGCUUCUCUGGGAGCAGAAAUGACCCCAGGCCAGGGCUGGGGUGUGGGACAUCACCUGGCACAGGGCUCUGACUCGAGGCAGGAGGUGGUCCCGGCCAUGGUCCUCAAUGCCUUUGAUGGCACCUUGCACAGCUGGGUCCAAGCGUGCCCAGGGAACGUGCGCCCUGCUCAGCCACCACCAUGUCUUCCUGUCAGGGGCAAUAGAAGGGGCCCAUGUGGCCUGGUCAGGAGCACUGUGGGCCCAGCCACAGCCCCAAUGCUGCACGCCCUCCCGUGCUGGUGCCCCUCCAUGUUGCCUCCCAGAGGAAAGACGGGAAACAGAUGCUCAUUUCUGUUGUUGUUGUCUAUUUCACCCCCACUCUUUUUCCUAAAUUUUAUUUUUUGAGGACGAUUAGCCCUGAGCUAAUAUCCACCUCCAAUCCUCUUUUUUGCUGAGGAAGACUGGCCCAGAGCUAACAUCCAUGCCCAUCUUCCUCUAUAUGUGGGACGCCUGCCACAGCAUGGCACAAUCAUCGGUGCGUAGGUCUACGCCCAGGAUCCAAACUGGUGAACCCAUGGUCUCCGAAGCGGAGCGCGUGAACUUAACUCCUACAACACCAGGCCAGCCCCACUAAAUGUAUUUAUUUAUGGAAUAAGCGUGACAUCCAUGUGGUUAAAAUACAAAAGGAAAACUUCCUCUCCCCAGAAGCAGCCAGUGUUAUUGGCACCUGGCCUUUCCUGAACCCAAUCCUGCAAUUCCGUACACACAUGUGUGUGUAGGGUAGGUUCUUCCCCCUUUUCUCACAGAUGGCAGCAAAUCAAUGGUCCACAUGAUUGGCCCACAGGGUCCAAAGCCUGGCUGCCUAGCCCACCAGCUCAGCUGGCCCCCUGCCCAAGCCUGGGACAUACCUGAGGAUGCAGCAGUUUUCCAGCACAUGCAGCUCGGGAAAGGUGUGGUCACUGGCGUUCUGCUGGAUGAAGACUUCAGCCUUAUCCUUGUAGCUGCGGUGUGAAGAAGAUGCUGGCCCUCAAAACUCUCCCUUCUCAUCUCAACUGCUGCUUCUCUCAUAGAAUCACAAAUGUGGGUGAUGAUAACCGUGAUGGAGACUAUGCAGCGAGGAUUUACUCGCGCUGGCUCUGUGCCAGGUGCUGCAGCCAGAUGCUUCCUGAGGAUCUUUUCAUUGAACGCUCUCCACGACCUUUUGGGGUAAAUGCUUCCAGAAAAGGAUGGGAGCAGGGUUUCCCAGUGGUCUGGAAUCACAGCUAACCCUGCAUUCUAGAGGCCCAGCCUUCCUGGCUGGUGAAGGAAAAGGUCAGGAAGAAGGCAGCGCUCCCAGAGCCGGGCUGGCCCCCUGGGAGAGUCUGAGUAAGGCCUGGGAGUGCACACAAGAAGGGGAGGUAGCCCCAUGCCCACCUGGGCCAUCACAGCUGGCCUCCCUUCCCCAGGCAGAGAGUGAAGAAAGGUGGCAGAGAGCGUACACACUCCCUGCUCCCUAAAGGCAAGGAAGAAGAGGUGCCCUUGAGCGUCUAGUCCCAAGAAUGCGGAUCAGGGUCUCAAACUGGCCACUGAGCAGAUUUUCUGAAACGUUGAAAACCCGGCUGAAUUCACCUAAAAAUCCACUUCUCUGGCCUCUCUUGAGUAACCCACCUGGUGUCAGCACCUUUGGAGACCCCAUCCCAGGUGAACACAGCCAUCUGAAGACCCCAGACACAGGAGCCUCCUGACGCAGCCUCACACAGCACUUUGUCCGAAACUAGCUUCUUAGUAAUUCCCCACAGCCCCAAGGACUCCACAGCACCUCCUCUCACCCAAGCCCAUUAAGACAGAGGCAGAGUCCCCACCUAACCCUGCGGCUGGGACAGAGCUGGGUGAGCAGCUCAGGGAUUUGACAGCAAGUCCUGCUGUGAAAACCAGAGGGAGGAGAGGGGGCGCUGGCCCCGGCUGCUUGUUUAAGGGAGCACCAAGAAGUUGAGUGACUGAGAUAAAUAGUAAUUUACUGCGAUUUAUUUUUUUCCCCAUGGAGGAAGAUUGACCCUGAGCUAACAUCUGUGCCAAUCUUUCUCUAUUUUGUAUAUGGACUGCCACCACAGCAUGGUUGACGAGUGGUAUAGGUCUGCACCCAGGAUCCAAACCCGCAAACCUGGGCCACCAAAGCGGAGUGUGCAGAACUUUAACCACUUGGCCACAGGCCGGCCCCUACUGCAAUAUUUUUAAACCUUGAAAUCUGUGCCAAAAAGUCCAUGAUGAACAAAACACCAAGUUUUAAAUCAGGACAGGAUCUGACGCAGCACUUUCACGAUGCUCCUCCCUGGUUCCCCCAAUCCCAGCCCUGCUGUCCAGUACAGGAGCCCCGCGCCCCAUGUGCUGUUCAAAUGUUGAAUAAUUAAAAUUAAAUAAAAUCUAAACUUCAGUUCUUCCGUGGAACUAGCUCAACAGCCACCCAGAUCUGGUCCCUCCAUGUUGGACGGUGCUGACAUGGGACAUUUCCAUCCCCUGCCUCCAGAGCCAGGGCACGAGGUGGAGCAGGCACGACUUGGGGGACCUGAAGCCAAUCCCGCCCCCUUCCCUGCAUCGGGAACUGGCCAAGGCGUGGUGGCCAGCGGCUGGUGGGCUUAGUUAGCUCUCUGACUUGAGUUAGGUAGACCCAGCCGUGCAUGCUCCCCUGCUCUGAGCAGGGGCCACCUUUUCACUUACCUUUCCAGAAACUUUGAAAAUGUUUCCAGAACCAUGGCUUGAACCCGUCUGGUGACGGAUGGCCCAAUGUGUCGGACUGCAUCUACAGCUUCUUUCAGUAGCUGUCAGUCAAAACAAACAGGCUUUCAGGGGGUCCCAGGGCCGACCACAUAGCCAGUGGACGCUGGGAGGAUGUGGUCCUCCCCAAUUUUGUACCUGUGCCCCACCCCUUGCCCCCCUGCCAUGUCUGCCUACUGCAGAUGCCACGCCAUCCACCAGGCCCAUGACCCAACACAUCUCGG
rnacentral:lncRNA from 1 species